rfam:Cyphomyrmex costatus contig14907, whole genome shotgun sequence.
GCCUCGGUAGUCUAAUUGGCUAGGACACUUGCGCAUAAAACAAGCGAUCCGAGUUCGACUCCCGGCCGAGGUA